GAACCUCUCAAGUACCUCAGAAAUGGGGAAAGAGAGAAGGGAAAUUGGGAUAAAAAAAAGGAGGCUGCAUCCUCCAAAAAUCUGAGAGAUCCCAGAGAAUGCCCCAUGGCUUCUCCCUUUAUUGAAAUAAAGUUCCAGGCUUCUCCCUUUAUUGAAAUAAAGUUCCAGGACUGCUCUGUCUCCUUUUUGGCCAUAAACCUCUGGUGUUUAUGGAUUAAUUUCCCUAAAAUCAGCUUUGUUAUCCCCCCCAGCCGUGCCGGGACCACCCCAUCCAUCCCACCCUGAUCCCUCCCCGCUGCAAUCCCCACCAGCUGCAGCAGCUGGGCGCUCUCCCUCUGCUCAUCCUCCUCUCGGGCUCUCCCAGCGAUCCCCGGCAUGCCCAGGGCUGGAAUUUGUGUUGGUGAGGAAUGUUCUGCACCGAGGAGCAGCUGGUGUGGCACAAGCGCCGAGCCCGUGGCUCUGUCCCCUGAUUGUGUCACAUUCCUGCCCUUUGCACGGGGCUUGCUCUGCACUUCCAGUCUGGGGCCUUCAGCUGCAUUUGCUGGAGUUUUUUUUUCUGUGAAUCUCUUCUCCUGGCAAUCUCUUUUCCUGUGAAUCUCUUUUCCUGGCAAUCUCUUUUCCCUGGGAAUCUCUUUUCCUGGGAAUCUCUUUUCCCUGAGAGUCUCUUCGCCCUGGGAAUCCCUUUUCCUGGGAAUCUCUCUUCUUGGGACUCUCUUUUCCUGGCAAUUUCUUUUCCUGGGAAUCUCUUUUCCUGGGAAUCUCUCUUCUUGGGACUCUCUUUUCCUGGGAAUUUCUUUUCCUGGCAAUCUCUUUUCCUGGGAAUCUCUUUUCCCUGGGAAUCCCGUUUCCUGGGAAUCUCCCUUCUUGGGACUCUCUUUUCCUGGGACUCUCUUUUCCUGGGAAUUUCUUUUCCCUGACAAUCUCUUUUCUUGGGAAUCUCUUUUCUUGAGAAUCUCUUUUCCUGGGAAUCUCUUUUCCCAGGGAAUCUCUUUUCCUUUCAGUUUCAAACUGGAUUUAAGGCACCGGAAUUGUGGCAUGGAAGGAGCGGCAGCAAUGGUUGGGAAUGACCCACAGGUGCCUGAGACAUCUCCCCCAGGGUGACAUCUCCCCUCUAAAGGGAGGAAAAUGAUGAAUGUGGAAGUCAGAGCCAGGCCAGAGACUGGGAUGCGGGAAAACCUCCCCAAAGUGCAUUUGUGCAGCAGGAAGGGAGCGGGGUGGGCACUCACAGGGCAAUGAGUGAGCACACACAUGACCAGGUAUUCAUUGACCAGGGGUGACAGGAGGGCAGCGGCCACAGAGCCAGUCUGGGUGUCACACACAGCC
rnacentral:lncRNA from 1 species